AUUAUCUUGGUAAAUAAUUGAUUUACCUUGGAAAGUGAACAGGUUGCUUUUUGCCCGAAGGAAAAUGAUAUAAAUGUAUGUAUUAUAACAGGACCUUCUCGUCUUUGAAACGAAUCAUACAAAUAGAGAGACAGUGGGGCAGAGGAAGAAAGAGAGGUAGCAGAGGGGAGCUUACGACAUAACUUUCUCACGGCGUUUAAUUGCGUGGAUCUUUUUUGCGUUGUUCAAUCAGUGAGAGGGGAAAAAGGAGAACAGAUAUUACGGAGAACAAAAGACCUGACCCGAUCACACCUGCGCGCUCCUAUCGUAUAAUAAUCCUCAUCGCUUUAACUUUGUCUCUUCGCCUUUCACAUUUCUUUUGAUCCCCCCUGUUCUUUUCUUCUCUUCUGGCCAUUUCCAUAGCUCCCUUUUUGUCUUCUAUGCCAUCCUCAGAAGUCAUCAGAUCCAUGAAAACAAACAAAAAUUUGUUUUUCUCCACCUACUGAGCUAUAGCUUAUUCUCUAUUCCUUUCAUGAAACUUUAAACACAAAGGCACAGACAAGGAUAGAAGAGAAGAAAAAGGAGUGUGGGGAAAUGGGGACUGGUUGGAGAAGAGCCUUUUGCACUCGCGACCCAGAAUCCAGAGUUUCAGACAAGCAGCAGAGAAGCCCAAGCCCGAGCCCCAGAAGCUGUGCCAAAUUGGGUUUCUUCUCUAGUGGAAGCAACGCCUCUAGUACUCCACGCUCACAAGGGUCUCAACCUCUAUCAAGUCCAAGCUUGCGUUGCCGAACCAUUUCAGAAGCGGCUCAAACUGCAGCAGCUGAUGACAGCCCCAGAUUUCAAUGCAAAAACACCACUCCCAAGGCGACCAAAUCCCCCAAACCGCCAUCCACUGCCUCAAAUCCAACCUCUCCUCGCUCGCCUUUGAAGUUGUCUCUCUUCAAAAACAGCUUCAAAUUUAGAAGUACUUGUGGGCUGUGUUUGAAUAGCGUGAAGGCAGGUCAGGGCACGGCCAUAUAUACAGCAGAAUGUUCUCACGCUUUUCACUUUCCGUGUAUCGUUGCUUAUGUACGAAAGCACGGAAGCCUUGUCUGCCCACUCUGCGGCGCCACCUGGAAAGACAUACCCCUACUCGCCCUCCACAAUAAUCCCUCCUCUGAAUCAUCUCAACACAACGACAUCGUCGCUGAAAAGAGAAUUGAUGAUCAUCCAAAUGCCAGCGAUGACAGCAGAACGGAAAACCCUUCCCCCUCAGCUUUCACAACCAAGAACGUUGAACCGCCACCACAGCAAAGAUAUCAGUCCAAGCGUUCCGAUUCCAUCAGGCCCUACGACGAUGACGAGCCACUUCUAUCUCCUACCUCCGGAGGCCAAAUCAUUACCAUACCAGAAGCUGAUGAAAACUGUGAAGAUGACGACGACGUUGUGGAGUUCCAGGGCUUUUUCGUCGAUCCUAAAACUUCAUCCUCAAUCAAAUCUUGCUCCCGUGACUUGCAAACGAAGGAAGAAUCCAGAAAUGUCGUGGUGAAAUUGGUGCCGGAGUGCGCUAUUGUUUCAGUCUCUCGGAGCCACCGGACUUGCGCUUUGGUUUUAAAGGUGAAGGCUCCGGCGGCUCGUAGCACCAAUAAGAUUGCAUCGCCGCUUCUGGACCCGUCUCAAAGGGCGCCCGUUGAUCUUGUCACAGUUCUUGACGUGAGUGGCAGCAUGGCCGGAGCGAAGCUUCACAUGCUCAAGCGCGCUAUGCGUUUGGUUAUUUCGUCCCUCGGCCCAGCUGACAGGCUCUCUAUAGUGGCUUUUUCGGCCAGCGCCAAACGAUUAUUACCUUUAAGAAGAAUGUCGGCCCAGGGGCAGCGCGCCGCUCGCCGCAUCAUUGAUCGGCUUGUCUGUGGCCAAGGAACUUGCGUGGGAGACGCUUUGAGGAAAGCCACCAAAGUGCUGGAAGACCGGAGGGACAGAAACCCGGUGGCGAGCGUUAUGCUCUUAUCGGACGGCCAAGGUGAGAGAGGACAAUCUGGGGACCCAAAUAAUCAGCGGAAAGGCUCCACUACUUGGCCUUCUACUCGCUUCGCUCACAUCGAGAUCCCGGUUCAUGCCUUCGGGUUUGGACAGAACGCCGGGUACAGCCACGAGCCGGCCGAGGAUGCGUUUGCCAAGUGCGUUGGUGGGUUAUUGAGCGUGGUGGUGCAGGACCUGAGAAUUCAGCUCGGCUUCCAGGCAGGCUCAGCGCCGGCUGAAAUUAGCGCCGUUUACUCUUGCAGCGGGAGGCCCACGGUGCUGAGCUCAGGGUCCGUGCGGCUCGGCGAUUUGUACGCGGAAGAAGAGAGAGAGAUUCUGGUGGAGCUGAGAGUUCCUUCUUCGGCUUACGGGGCCCACCAUGUAAUGACUGUACGGUGCGUUUUCAAAUGCCCUGCCACGCAGGAGAUUGUCUACGGCGGCGAACAGAGUAUUAUGGUACCGCCACCUCAAACUACACGAGGUUCCGGCAUCAGAAUCGAGAGGUUGAGGAAUCUGUUCGUGACAACGAGGGCCAUAGCCGAGUCUCGGAGACUGACGGAGCACAAUGACUUCACGAGCGCGCAUCAUUUGCUGGCUUCGACUCGAGCUCUUCUGAUGCAGUCGAGCUCGAUCUCGGCCGACGAGUUCAUCCGUGGCUUGGAAGCUGAGCUGGCAGAACUUCAUUGGCGGAGACAGCACCAGAUGGAUAAGAUUCAGCAGCAGCAGAUGAUGGCGAUGCAACGGAGAAGAGGCAGUGAAAGAGAAGCGUCGUUGUUGGUGGAUGAAGAUGGGGAGCCGCUGACGCCGACAUCGGCUUGGAGAGCGGCUGAGAAGCUGGCCAAGAUGGCCAUGAUGAAGAAGUCGUUGAAUCGAGUUAGCGACUUGCACGGCUUCGAAAACGCUAGAUUUUAAUUAAACUCCCAUUUUUCUUUGGGGACAAAAAAUGGAAGGGGUCGGAAUUCAGAACAAUUAGUUAAUAAUUGUGUUCAUUAGAAAAGGAAGAGUUGGCUGUGGCGGGGAAGGUGAGUGGGGAGGGGUGACCCAGCGGGGAAAGGGAAAUUGAUUCGAACGGCUGGCCUUGGGCUGGGGUGUCUCAUUGUCUGGAGCUUUUGGAUUUGAAUCACAUUGUUUAAUUUGGAGGAUGUGAAUGCAGGAGAUCGGAGUACGCCAAAUUGAUGCUUUUAUUACGAUUCAGAUCUUCGGAUGAUGCCGCGGGCGGGAAGAUUAAUGAUAGCCUGAUGAUUAGGUUGCACUGUAAUUGGAACUACAUUUUCUUCUUAUUUUUGAAGCAUGUACGUGCCUUUAACUGGCUGAU